rnacentral:lncRNA from 1 species
ACAAAACAUCAUUUGUUUUACAGAAUCAUCCUUGCCCUGUCAGAGCAGAUUCAGAUGAGCAUGAAGGGGAUAUAAGUGGCACCCAUCCAGGUAGAAAAACAGAAGCAUCUUCUUUAUGCCUUGAAGAGAAAGGUAGCAAGAAGAGAGGAAUCAAGGAGGAGACAAACAGGAUGCCUUGCUCAAGGGCUUGUCAGGAGAUAAACCUCCUGAACCUUGCCUUCAGCCAGGAAGAGGUAAUAGGACCUGAGAAGAAAAGGAAGGUCAGUGAACCAGAGAAGCU